rnacentral:rRNA from 1 species
AUGGCACAUCAUAAAAAAGGCUCAGGAAAAGGUUGGUUGCUAUGUCGGAAUCCAGGACUCUCUGAUGAUUUCAACAAGUGUGUUGACUUCAGCUUCACUAUAGACGAGUUUGAGCAGAAUUGGGCUGGGUUAAUGAUGAAGUAUGAGGCUAUGGCACACACGCAGUUUGAGAAGUUGUACGAAUACAGGUCAACUUGGGUGCCGUGCUACUUCAAACACAGGUUCUUUCCCUUCCUCCAGUCUACACAGCGUAGUGAGGGGUUCAACGCCGUCCUCAAAAGAUAUGUGAACCCACACAACUCAAUGUUGAACUUCGUCAAGCAAUAUGAAAAAAUACAGAACCACAUCCUUGCCAAGGAAGGCUGCAAUGAUUACAGGACACAACACCUUGAGAUUGAGUUGUGGUCCAACUUCCCAAUAGAGAAGCAAGCUUACAAAACCUAUACUAGAGACCUUUACCGCAAGUUUAGAGAAGAGUUUGAGCUGAUUGGACGUUAUAAUGCAUUCCAAGUUGGCGCUGAUGUGUUUGAGCUCAGACCGAACCAGGAAUUUGUU